rnacentral:misc_RNA from 1 species
GAACAGAAUCUAGAUCUAAAAACAAAACUAAAUUCCCCACUUCUAGUUUAUAAAUUACUUGUAUACAAAAUCUCGUGUUCAGAAUACGCAAUAUUAUUAAUUGAUAAUUCGAGACCUGUAAUUCUGAAAAUCAUUAAACUAAGCAAUACAUGAUAUUAUUUUGACCUGAAACAAAUUAAGCUCUACUAGGAAUUUAUAGUAAACACUAUAGCCUGCGAGGAUCAGUAUCUUUUAUGUCGUUUAGCAUAAGCCUAACUGUUCUAUCAUCCUCCAACACGUCAAAAACAGAUGGUGCGAAUACUUCCUCAUAUAAUAAUCAUAUACAUUUUACAUCUCCAAUGCAUGUAUUGCCUAAAAUAUAUAUAUAUAUAUAUAUAAACCAUUUCCCAACAUUUGAGUUACAAAAAUGGCGCCAUUCACAAGCCUCAAGCCCUCAACCUUAGCCACACCAACCUGGACAUCCAAUCAACGACCUGUAAAUUUUUGGUAACUCCCUAUUCAUUCUUAUCAAUGAAUAGCACUCAUAAUUCACACAUUCUACUCCAAAACUUUUCCUGUUUUUCCCCUCCAAAUCAAAUGAAGAACCACUCCAUAGAAAUUUCUUUACAGAACAGUUGAUGAAAAAAAAAAGAGAGGAGAUAUUAACACAUAAUAAUAUGCACACGUAUACAUGAAGGCAUCCCCCAAAAACAACGAAAUGCCCACCACCACAGAAAGAACUCCAAUCACUGGACACAGCUACUUCCCGAAGAGGAACAAUGACAUACCCACAAAUGAAAGGGAUUAAGGAUAACUUAAUGCAGCUUCACCAAGGAAAUAACAACAGAAUUCCACCAUCUCCUGAGGAACUAAGAAGACAGAAUAGAUUGCAAGGCAAGUUGCUGUUGUGGCUCCAAGGACGACCAGGUUGAUGCUAGGGUGGCAGGCGGUAACAUCUGCUGAAGCUGCCUCAAUAGAUUUAUCAUUCGACUAACAGUUUGCUCUGUUGCCAAGUCUUUACCUGCACAUAUGACCUCAGCAAAAACAUGGACAACUUUGGGAAGAUAUUGAUUGUUCAUUCCUAAAAGUUCUCUAUCCGAUCUGAAAACAGUUGCAUUUUCCACUUUCAAACAGUAUAUGCGCUAAAAUACAGCUGGCCAAGAAAGUAGAGAGGAAGAGAGAUAGGAAACUAAUCAAAAAAUUCCCAGAUUUUUACCGUUCAACCAUUGAGCAAAGCUGGUCAUGCACAAGCUUUGCCUCAAUUAGAUCACUUCUUAUUGGUAAGCAGCUUAACCAAGCAGGGAAUACCCGUGCUGCAUCUAUACUAUCCCGAUGGAACUGGCAUAUUUUUCCAAGCGCUGAAACAGCAUUGUCAUAUGCCAUAACAUUGUCCGGAAGAUGUGCACUAGGAUCGCUUAUUACAACAUUCAGCUUAGAAAGGGCCUCCCUAACAAGUGGUUUAAAUGCAGAUCCACCAAACUCUGCACAAACACCAACCCCAUAAACAGCUGCCUGACGAACAUCUGGAUUUUCAUCAUUGCAGGCCUCCAAAAGGAAAGGAACAUAAGUAUCAUAAUAUUUAAUAGCUGCUUCCCGGCAUUGCUCCACAACAUCAUCAAAUAUGCAAAUGGCAAUUCUCCUCUCUUCUGCUGUUUUGUCCUUACCCCACAUAGGCGUUAUGUAAGAUGAAAGCUCAUCAAAGAAAGGCAAGAAAGAGGCCCCAAAUGUCUUAAUUAGCAUGCCCAAUAAUUCACCAACUUGAUCAAAGAGUUCUUCUUCUUGCUCAUUUUCUUCCUUUAGUAACUCCCCUUCUUCUACAUCAAAGUCCUCUGUUCUGGCCCUCUCUGCUCUUUCCUGUUUCCUGGCUGCACUGGCUGUGAUGACCUGUUUCACCUCAUCCACAAUGGACCUUACUUGGCUUUCUUCUAAAAUAGGUCCAGAAACCUGUAUACAUUCAGUCAAUGAAUCCAACAUGCUUGCACAAAUUUCCACCUCUGGCUCCUUGUGUAAAGCCUCCACCAAAGCAGGAAGAAUGUAAUCGGACAAUUGUUUCAAAUACAACUCAUUCCGUCCAUGAGAUUGACCCUUUUCUAUAGCUAGCUUAGCUGAACGUAAUAGUUCAGGCAUAGCUGAAACUGCAGCCUUCCUAACUUCUUCAUGGAAAUAAAACUUAAGGAGAGGAACCAAUGUAGUAGCUACCUGAUCAAUCCACGGGAAAAAUCCUUCCUUCAAUUCAUCAGCAUAGCAGCAAAGCAUGUUACAUGCUGUAGCUUUUUCCUCCAGAACACUAGUCUUGAUCCCUAUUCUUUUAUCCCCAAGAGUAAUUGUUUCAAUGCUGUCAUCAUCAUCAAUAUCAACAUCUGAAUCUGCAGAAGUAAUUGUUACAUCAGGCUUAAGCUGUGCAGACUGAAGCAGAGGGGGCAUGACAACAUUCAUAUAUGGAAGAAAAUCCUUCCCGAGGCAUUUGCAAAGCCUGGCCCAUGCUUGUAGCAUGUAGCUUAUUGUUGGAUCAUCUGCGUCCAUUUGAGAUCCUUGAAGUGACAUUAACACAUCCAUAACCUGCCUAGCAUCAUCCCUAAAUUUGUCCCUUCCAACAGCCAUCCCAACCAAACUAAUGCACUCCAUAGCUUUUGCACGAAGCAUGCGAUUAGACUUGUCAUUUGCAUUCACCAGUAUGGCUUUCAAGUAAGGCAUUACAGCAUCAUAAUAUUUCUGAAAUUGAUCCUGUGAUGAAUCAGCAACUGAUGCUAAAGCUGUCAGGGCACCCUCUUGCACCAUUUGCUUGCCAUUCUGGAGGAGUACAAGAAGUUUGCUUACAAUUCCAUCCAAGUAUGGUGCCAGUAUAUCUGCAGCACAAUUUUCACUGAAAUUAAGUACUGCUGACGCGGCAUGCGCCUGAACUCGAGGAUUCUGAAAAUCGUCCAUUGCUCCAGCCAAAGCAGGAAGCACUUGCUGAUUAUACUUUAUUUGCAAAUCAGGGCCCAGGUCAGUUGACAAUUGUCCAAUUGCGUUUAUAGCAGCCCACCUCACACGGGGAUGGGGAUCUUGGAAUGAGUUUAAAACCAUAGAAACUAUCUGCUCGAGGUUCCUUAUCAUCACCUUUGAGGAACCCUCGGCGAUCUGUGCCAGUGCAAUGAGUGCAGCAUGAUGCUUCUCCCACUCUGGAGCUGCCAAGAAGCCCCGCAAAACCUCAGAAGCAACCGGAACCACAGUAUUCCCACCAAGAGAAAUCGAUAGCCUGUCCAAACACUCCUGCCCAAACCCAUAAUUACUAGUCUCCCCAGCAUCCUCAUCCUCAGUCUCUGCACUAUGCCACACAGGAUCAUCUUCUAUAUCCAAUAACAUCGUCAUUAACACCAUAAACAGCUUAUGCACAAACUGCGGAAACUUCCUCAUCAGUCCGGGCGCCCUCUCUCUCGCCUCAGCUAGCGUAAUUACAAACUCUAUCGCCAAAUGCCUCGUCCCUUCCUCUAAACUCUCCGCCUCCGCUAUUUGCAACAUGGAGCCUACAACCUCCAUUAUUUGCUUCCUCAAAAAUCUAGGCUCGCUCCCUGCUAAUUCAAUCAACAAUUCAAGCGCUUCUUGGGCCGUCGCCUCUUGUUUGCUAUUCAAUGCUUCGGUCAAAGUCCGCAUCAUUAAUGGCAACAAAUCCUGAAACUUUUCGCGAUCGUUAUUGUUUGAUAAGCAUUGUAUGAAAUUAAUUGUUGCAUUUAAAGCUGCAAUUCUCAAUUCGGCACUCGUAGAAUUACUUAAACAUUUUAAAAACAGUUCAUGAAGAGUACUCAAAUGAGGAAUUAGGGUUUCGCCAAUAAACUGAGCCAAUCGAGCAAAAAUCAAAAGCGCCGAUUCUUGGAGAUUAUGAUUUUGUGAGGUCACGCAUUGAAACAUGAACGGCAGCAGCUCAGGCCACCCACCAUCCGGCAAAACAGAUGCAGCGAGCUCUGAAACCGUAUCGUUUAUCUUUUUAGUUAUCGAUUUUGUAGUCUCUCGCUGAAGAGAAGAGAGUAGUAUAUUCUUAAUGGCAGAGCGAGUUGACUCGGUGAGCUUGGGGUAGAGGAACGAGUCAUCGUUGGCAGUCGCGCGAGUAAGGUGCUUGCGGAGGAGGAUAGCGGACAUGGCGCGAACCUCAGGAUUGGCCGAGGAUGAGAGCAGAUGAGCAAGUCUGAGGAGGAGUAAGUCAGGGUGAGCUUGCUUGCAGAUGUUUAAGAAUGACUCUGCCGCAGAACGUUGGUCAUUGGAGGAAGACAUGAGGUGGUUUACCAGGGUUUCGAAGUGAGUGGGGUCGGGCCCGACGAGGAGGGCGAGUUGCUGCAACUGAGUUGGAUCGGCGGCCGCCAUGGACAGGGAGUUGGAUAGAAUUUUUGAGUUUUAUGUGUGGUGGUGGCUACAAAACUACUAAAGGAGGGAAGGAAGGAGGGAGGGAAGGAGGGAAGAUUGAAAGGGAAAGUGGAGGGGUUUGUGUUU